UACGUAGGGUGCGAGCGUUGCCCGGAUUUAUUGGGCGUAAAGGGCGCGCAGGCGGCCACGCGCGUCCGUUGUGAAAUCGCUCGGCUCAACUGGGCGAGGUCAGCGGAUACGGCGUGGCUGGAGCAAGCUAGGGGGCAAUGGAAUUCCCGGUGUAGUGGUGGAAUGCGUAGAUAGUCGGGAGGAACACCAGUGGCGAAGGCGGUUGCCUGGAGCUUUGCUGACGCUGAGGCGCGAAAGCGUGGGGAGCGAUCCGG
rnacentral:rRNA from 1 species